GAGCCAUGGCCGCUGAGCUUGCGCGUCCUGCUCCGCAGCGGGAGAGGCUGCAGCAGUGAGGCCCGUGUAUUGCAAAAAAAAAAAAAAAAAAAAAAGGUAAGAUCGUCAAUAACGAAGGAAAACGUGGGAACCCACUGCUCAUUCCAGAAACACAUAUGCAGCCCCGGUGUCUAAUCCAGCGGCAAGCACUGUAGGGAUGUGGAUGAAUCAGUUCCCGACUUCGCAGUCUGCGUCUUAGAGAAGGGGCGGGGAGAGAGAGAAGAGAUGAACUAACGUUUACUGAGCGACGUGCAAGACCCCGCACAGAUGUCCUCUUUUAAUCGUGACAACAGUACUGCAAUAUACCUGGUGUUACCUCUAUUUUAUAUGGAGGAGACUGGGUCUCAGAGUGGUUGAGUAACAUCCCCAGGGUCUCGGGGCCAGAGUGAGUAGAAGCAGUGAUUUCAACUCAGGUCCGUCUUUCCAGCCCAUGCUCUGUUUGUCCCCUGCAUGGGCCACUCACAGGCAGAAGGAAAAAAAGCACGAGGGCAGUGAAUGAUUAUGGGAGUUCGUGGUCAUGUGUCUUUGUGGGCGAGGAAGUCAUUACAAAAAGAGUACUCGGAAAACUAAAGGUGAAAAUGAUAAUGUAUCAAAAUGGAGAUCAAACAUUCUCCUCGAGAUGGUGAAAUAGACUGAAAAAAGUGGGAAAACAUUCGUGCUUGAUUAGAACAUCUCAGACUCUGCUGGAUUUCUAUUUCUCCACAGCUCGCCUCUUCCAAUGUGCUCCAUCUAAUAUCAAUAGCUCUUCAGAUGCGAGGAUACAGAAUUACAUGGAAAUUCCCCGUGCAGUACAGCUACGUUUUAGAUUUUUACGGCGAAGAUUCUUUCCCGCGGUCCUUUUUACAGGCAUGACUUUUAGGAGAAUACCAAUCAUGAAAUAGAAGCUACAUUUUAAAAUGAAAAUGCAUCUGAUACCUCCUGUGGAAUCUCAUCCUAGGGUGACGUGGCACUCUAAAACAGGCGUCAAAACACACAAAAUACAUAAAAAUUCAUCUACCCCCAGUUUGCUUGUCUUUCGCCUUCUGCUUCCAUUAUUAAUCUGAGAAAACCGUGUGUGUGUGUCUGCCUGAGUUUGUGUGUUGAAUUCUUCGCUAUCUGAGAAAAAGUUAUUAUCCUUGAGAGUAUUUUAAGUUUGAUAUUGUAGAACAGUGGUCCCCAGCCUUUUUGGCACCAGGGACUGGUUUUGUGGAAGACAGUUUCUCCGCGGACCGGGGGGAGGUUUGUGUGGGGUGGGUAGUUCAGGCGGUAACGCGAGCGAUAGGGAGCAAUGGGGAGCGGCAGAUGAAGCUUCGCUCACUCGCUGGCCGCUCGCCUCUUGCUGUGCAGCCCGGUUCCUAACAGGCUGUGGACCGGUACCGGUCUGUGGCCCAGGGGUUGGGGACCCCUAUUGUAGAAGAUGUACCAGUUAUAUGGAAAAAAAAAAGGCACUAGUUCCCGGAGGUUGGAGCUGGUGUCAGCUGGGCUUAGGCUCCUACGUGAAGUUUUGACCCCUUGGACACUUGAGCAGCUGAUGAUUCCGGGCUCCGCCAUCUGAGAGUCGUUUCCAUCGGGCAAACCCAAGAUCCUGUUCUGACACAGGGGCUGGCCUGUUUUUAUAAGUAGAGUUUUCCUGGGACACGGCCUCACUCAUUUGUUGACAUACUGUCCCUGGCCGCUCUUAUGCUACAGUGGAGAUCGUGACUCUGUGGUCCGGAAAGUAAAAAAAUGUUUACUGCCUGACCUUCAAGAAAAAGUUUCCUGGCCCCGGUUGGGAGCAUCCAGCCUUCAUCUAUAUUUACCUGGACGCAAUCCUAAAAUACGUUGUAUUGCACUAGAGCUUUGCAAAACCAAUAUUGCAUUAAUGACACUUUAGUCAUAUUUUGAAAUAAGUCAAAGUCCUUUGAAUAUAGAAGACUAAGAAUGGAGUAGUCAUACUCUCUGGACUUUCUAUUGCCCCGAAUUUGCAUCCAUUGGCUUCCAAAUUGCAUUUUCUUUCACAGAAACUCAAUUGGUCUCAGUUUUUAAAUCUGAAAUCUUCAAAGAGGAUGAGGUACGCACAAAAAGGUGAUACCUGGCAACGUGGAAUGGGAUCAAAAUUUAGUCUGUGGUUUUUAAAUUAAUACUCUGUGGACUGUUCAUGUUUCUUUCCUUCUUGUUUCAUUGUGUAGCCUUCAGGUGUGCGUCAUUCACUGUAACUCAUCAUAUUACGUUUCAGUUUGCCAAUUUCCUGACGUUAACACUGCCAUCACCAUUAUUUGCAAGCUGUGACAAAUAACAACCCUGUUGUGAAAAUGGUUGAGAAUUUCGAUGAGCUCAAGUGUUGACUUCUUGGCACUAGAAUAACAGCUGUUUCCUAGGGUAAUGUAAAAGAAAAGGAACACCACCAAUUCCUUUAGAUUUCUAGGUAAUAGAAGCCCACAGAAAAUCAACAGAUUUGUUGUAUAUGAACAGAGGAAACUUUGGCAAAAUCAUUUUUAAAUUCCCCAUGUCUUUAAGUUUUCUUAAAGCCAUUUCAUGAUACAGUUGCUCAAAAGACAUUUUACAAAGCUGGAUAAGUUUUUUUGUCUAGCGAUAUCAGUAUUAAUAUGAUAGGAACAGCAUAGAGAGGUCUGGAGUCUGUUUUAAGAUGAAAAUUCAUAUGCCAGCAGGAAAGAAGCCACCAACAAUCUGGAGAAUUUAAUGAGAACAACCUCCCAGUUUUAAUUACAGCAUUACAAAUGUGCAGAUACAAUAAUUGCAUUACCUUGAUGUAUAUUUCCACAAGGACUCCAUAAAAUAAAUUCAAAGGCCAGCAGAAGGCUCUCACUAAUAGUAUCAUUUCUCCCUGGGAACAAUACAGUUGCUGCAUAUAUUUUUGUAAAAAACAGGUGAAUGACACCAUCCCAAGCCACAAUAUAACAUUAAAAUAUUUUCUUCAUGUCUUGUUUAAAAGACUUUUCCUUAUGGUUUUUCGUCAAAGGGUUAGAGAAAAGUAAAUCUACCAAGAUACUAGAUUAGCUUGUUUAAUUUCAGUAUCUCCAGCCUUCUCUAGAUGGCAGUCAAGGCACGGGGUUUUUUAGGCCGCUCUUGUGGAAAGCGAGAGGAAGAACACAGCAGGGUUUUUUGUUUCUCACAGUCCUCAAAUAACGGUGAUGAGCGUGUUAAAGUCAGGAAAUUGACAUGACUGACGUAUGAGAGUAGGAAGACAGCAAAAGAUGCUCGUCUUACGGCUGCGCACUGAAACAAGAAAGAAAGAUGCUCAAGGGGAAUAAGACCCCUGGACUCAUUUGAUCCAGUUAUCACACAUUUUUGUGUGUGCAUAGCAUCCUCUUUGAAGAUCUCAGAUUUAAAAACUGAGGCCAGCUGAGCUUCUGUGGGAGAGAAUGAACAUCUGGAAGCCCGUGAAUGCAAAUUUAGAGCAAGAGAAAAAUCCAGAAAGCAUGAGUAUUCCAUACCUCGUCUCCAACAUCCAAAGAACUUGAACUUAUUAUAAAAUUUGAUUAAAGCCAAGUGUCAUUAAUGCAACAUUGGUUUUGGAAAGCUCUAGUGAAAGACGACAUAGUUUUUGCAUUGAGUCCGGGUGAACUUAGAUGAAGUCUGUACUUGGUGCUCGUUAACAGCGAAAGUAAUCAGUGUUUUAGGACGAGAAUCUUUAACUUGCGCAUUUUAAAUGACUGUUUGAUUGUGUUCCCGAGGAAAAUUGAUCGUGUGACAUGCAUUCAACAUGCAACAAAUAUUUUUUGACUGUUUAUUCUGCAUCAAACACUCUGCUUAGUGCCAGGUAUUCAGAUGCGCGUGAGCCCCUAUCCCAAUGGCCCCGUGAAUCUGUCCACCCUACUAGGACAGAUAAAGCCGGAGUGAAAUGGGGACCCUUGUUUUUUGUCUCAUGCUUCCAGUAUAGGAUGGAGAAGAGUUAAGAAGACACAGAUUUUCCAUCAAGGUCUUUCUCCAGGACUGGGAUUUAAUAAAAUAAUAAUGAAAAUAUCAACAAAACCACAUUCAUUUAUUGUAUAUCUAAAUAGCCUACUUGUUUUAAAUACUUUAUCUAUGUGCAUUACCUGAACCCAGCAAGGUGGGUAUUAGUACCUUUAUUUAUAGAUAAUGAAACUUAGAGAAGGAAGAUGUCUUUCCCAGGGGCCACAGCAGAGCCCGAUUCCAGCUGGAGUUCCUGUGUCUCCAAGGCUUAGGCUCUUCCCACCGCACCCAGCUGCCCACAUUCUGAGCUGCCCUGUGUGUGCAUUUCUUCCAUCUGAGUUGGACUCUUCCACACAGAGGUUCAGGGGACAGUGUACAUGGCCUUUCCCGGGUCCAUCUGUAUUGGGAAGAGUCUGGGGAACUCGGUGCUGAUCCUUCAGGGCUUACUGUCUGAUGAUAUGCUGUCGGGAACGGUAAGGGAGAUGUUUCAGCAUCAAGAAUAUUUUUCUUAUCCCUUAACAGGCGCUAUGGUGACUCCUCUUCCUCUGGUCCUGAUGCAGCAUGAAACGUGGCACAAAGGAACGAGGAAACGUGGCCUUUUGUGCUCGGUGUCUGAAAGAGUGGAAUUAUGCGUCUACGGAAGCUCUAUGUUUAACAGGCGGAGAAACUGUCCAACUGUUUUCCAAAGUGGCCGUGCCAUUUUACAAAUCUGCCCGCAAUGUAUGAAGGCUCCAAUAUCUCCCAAUCCUUGUGGAAUUGCAGAAAGGGAGGAAUUUCUGAAGAACCUGGCAAAAGAAAGAAUGACAUGUAAAAACCUGCCAGAUCCAGAGAGCAUGAAGCAAACAUUCAACAAUACCAGUCAGUUUUGGUGGAAUCACUUACCCUGAAGACUUGUCUACAGUAAAGCUGCUUGAUGAAUGGAGCUGGAGAAAUAGCGUGACAGUCAUUCCCUUGAUGUCAGAGCCACUGGUCUGCUCACUGAAUCCGCAUCUCCUUAGCCUCCCCUACCCUUAACCUUCUCCUCUGUCCCCUAGAGGUCUGCCUUUGGAAGGAUCUUAGUUGUAGUUCAGAGGUUAUAAUUUCACAAGGUUCAUUUCUCUCAAGGUAGCAAUAAACCUGUGAAGUAUGACUGGGUCAAUAUUUCUCCAAAUGAGUUCUUCUGUCCAUAAUUUAUACCCAGCAGCAGAUUCUGUGUGACUGGAAAGACAGGAAGGAAAUAAUCUCCUGGGACAGUAUUUUAAUAGCCAGAUGUCAUUGCCACUAACGAACUUUUAGGCUGGACACAAGGAUAACCUUGACAACUGACUUCCUACUCCUGCCUGAACUGUCCACCUGGAUUUUGUUUUUUAUCAGCCAUCGUCAGUACAAAGGUUGUUUCUCAAUUUCGUUCUGUAAACAUACAGCCGCUGUGUCCCACAGGAACUGAAAGUAGGUGUCCCCAGCUUGGAACUUUUUUCGGAAACAAUAAAAAGCUCCUUCAGCUUUGUC